rnacentral:rRNA from 1 species
GACGAACGCUGGCGGCGUGCUUAACACAUGCAAGUCGAACGGAAAGGCCCUGCUUUUGUGGGGUGCUCGAGUGGCGAACGGGUGAGUAACACGUGAGUAACCUGCCCUUGACUUUGGGAUAACUUCAGGAAACUGGGGCUAAUACCGGAUAGGAGCUCCUGCUGCAUGGUGGGGGUUGGAAAGUUUCGGCGGUUGGGGAUGGACUCGCGGCUUAUCAGCUUGUUGGUGGGGUAGUGGCUUACCAAGGCUUUGACGGGUAGCCGGCCUGAGAGGGUGACCGGCCACAUUGGGACUGAGAUACGGCCCAGACUCCUACGGGAGGCAGCAGUGGGGAAUAUUGCACAAUGGGCGGAAGCCUGAUGCAGCAACGCCGCGUGCGGGAUGACGGCCUUCGGGUUGUAAACCGCUUUCGCCUGUGACGAAGCGUGAGUGACGGUAAUGGGUAAAGAAGCACCGGCUAACUACGUGCCAGCAGCCGCGGUGAUACGUAGGGUGCGAGCGUUGUCCGGAUUUAUUGGGCGUAAGGGGCUCGUAGGUGGUUGAUCGCGUCGGAAGUGUAAUCUUGGGGCUUAACCCUGAGCGUGCUUUCGAUACGGGUUGACUUGAGGAAGGUAGGGGAGAAUGGAAUUCCUGGUGGAGCGGUGGAAUGCGCAGAUAUCAGGAGGAACACCAGUGGCGAAGGCGGUUCUCUGGGCCUUUCCUGACGCUGAGGUGCGAAAGCGUGGGGAGCGAACAGGCUUAGAUACCCUGGUAGUCCACGCUGUAAACGGUGGGUACUAGGUGUGGGGUCCAUUCCACGGGUUCCGUGCCGUAGCUAACGCUUUAAGUACCCCGCCUGGGGAGUACGGCCGCAAGGCUAAAACUCAAAGGAAUUGACGGGGCCCCGCACAAGCGGCGGAGCAUGCGGAUUAAUUCGAUGCAACGCGUAGAACCUUACCUGGGUUUGACAUGGAUCGGGAGUGCUCAGAGAUGGGUGUGCCUCUUUUGGGGUCGGUUCACAGGUGGUGCAUGCCUGUCGUCAGCCCGUGUCGUGAGAUGUUGGGUUAAGUCCCGCAACGAGCGCAACCCUUGUUCACUGUUGCCAGCACGUUAUGGUGGGGACUCAGUGGAGACCGCCGGGGUCAACUCGGAGGAGGGUGGGGAUGACGUCAAGUCCUCAUGCCCCUUAUGUCCAGGGCUUCACGCAUGCUACAAUGGCUGGUACAGAGAGUGGCGAGCCUGUGAGGGUGAGCGAAUCUCGGAAAGCCGGUCUCAGUUCGGAUUGGGGUCUGCAACUCGACCUCAUGAAGUCGGAGUCGCUAGUAAUCGCAGAUCAGCAACGCUGCGGUGAAUACGUUCCCGGG